AUCCUUUUGUAGUACAGAAGCAUGAUGAUUGGGUUUUCAUGCUCAUGUGUGAGAUGUGCCUCCUUUAAACCUUGUUAUGACAUCAGCACAUUACUCGUAUGAUG
ensembl:snoRNA